rnacentral:lncRNA from 10 species
GGCAGAUGAGUCAUACAUGAUAAAUAAAUGUAAGACAAAGACUACAAUCAGUACCAUAAAAAAGUAUAUCAUAGACAUGUUUGAUCCGAGACGGAAGGUUCCAGAGUAAGUGACAACUAAGCAGAGAUCUUAAAGAUGUGGGAACCAGCACCUACAUGUCUAUGUUCAGAAGCUGCCUUGAUGCCACAUGCGGGAGGCUGGAAACGCUGAAGGAUGACCACUGCUCAGCAGCAGUCUACCAGUGAUGGAUGAGAGUUGGUGCACAAAUACCCCAGCUCCCUUGCCUCUCAGUUUGGAUAAUCCUGAAAAGGUGUGUACUAUGCUAUUUCUGAGAUUAAGCCCUAGUUACCCAUAGUGGUAGCUAAAUAUAGUAGUUGGCUGUAUUCUCCAUCACUUCUUGAAUCCCCUGCCAGUGUUCUCUGCACCUCCUUAAUAAACCACUUGAAACAAAAAUCAAGUCUUUGACCCAGCAAGAAAUGAUUCCAAGAUCACCUAGCUGAUCUCAUGCUCUAUCUGGAUUUGAGUGAAGAUAUACAUAUUCACCAAGUCUUGACUCAGUCACCUUUUGUGCAGGGCCCAAUAGAAGCAAAUGCAGGUAUGAUCUGGAGAAGCAUAUCUUGAAUCUCAAAAAGUCAGGACAGACAACACCAUAAGAAACAGCAGGGGGAAAAGAAAAAAGCAGAAUCAGGCUCAGAACUACAGGACACCUUCAGAGGGCAGUGUUCCAUUUUAUUGAGGGAGAUCUGAAGAGAUGAAGUGACUUGCCAGAGCACAGGUCCAGUAAGUGUCAGGUUUCAAGUUCUUUGAGUUGAGAUUCAGUCAUUUGAAAGCCAUUUAUCUAGUGGAAUAACACC